CCAUCUGAACACUCUCUAUAGUUCCUUUACCUUUCAAGGGGUCAACAGUAAGAAGUCUAUCAUGGGGAGGAAAGGAGCUUCGCACAUCGUGCCAAUUUCAGACAGACUUUAACUUUAACGUUAUUACGUGACAGAAAUUAUCAUGAAAUAUGGGAGUCAAAUCUGAGUCUACAGCUUCCAAAAAUGAUCUACAAAGUGCAAGCUCUCCUCUGUCUGGACAUAUUUGUGGAUCUCUCUGAUUCCCACAAUCCAUUGCGCCAUGUCACCCAAAGGAUUGAGGGCUCCUUUGCGCCAGUAAGGGACAUUGCAAGGUUCCUAUAAGCUAAACUAGCCGUGUGAGGAAGCAUAGAGGCUCCUUUUCCUACCUCCUUCCUUACUGACUGCACUAUUCAGACAGCACUUAUUAUGGUGACCGCUGACGCACUUCCGCUGUGGCAAAAGAAUCCAAACUCAAUAAGGGUAUAUGGAUGGAGCCUUAGUGUGGCAUCAUUCACUUCUGAACUAGCAUGUAGCGACAAUGGACAGCUGCUUGCAUUUAAUGUUACAUUGCAUUGAUAUUCAUGUGUUAGAAUGGCCUAGUCAAAGUCCAGACCUAAAUUCAUCUGAACUUUACUUUGCAAAGAAGAAUGAGCCAAAAACAGAUAGAUCUGUCAAUGUGCAAAGCUGUUGUAGUGAUACCCUAAAAUACCUGCAGAUGUUAUUGUAAAUGUUAAUCUGUUGUCAUGUUUUUCCUUUUUGCUUUUAUCAAAGGGAAACCUCAGAUCAUUAUAGUAGCUCUACCCGUUGGGUUGACCUGCUUUUUGGUUUCUGUCCUCAUAUUUCGGUGUCUAAAAGAGAAAAGGCGAAACAGGGAUCUGGAGAGGUGCACAAGACCAACAAAAACAACCCAAGACCCAAAUGAUAAGGUGGAGGAUGACAAAGGAUUUCCACUCCUGCUGCAAACAUGAGACCCUCACAGGCACGACGGCCCCUCCUCUCUCAGCAGGAUGCUCCUGACCACCCCCCCUCUUCAGACCCUCUCCUGCAGCUCUCUCUCCUGCAGCUUCAGACUUCUUCAGACUUUCUCCUGACAAGCUGCUCAGACCACCUCGUCCUGGAGCAGACCAGGAAACCAUUUCGGACCAUGGGCCCUGCAUGGGCCUGACCGAUACACAAGCCAGCAGCUGAAGGAAGGUGCCUGGACCUGCCAUGCUUGAUCCAGGGUCUGCUAAAGUCGUCUGCCUGCUUCAAUAGAGGACCUGACUGAACCCGGAUAAACAACCCACUGGGACAGAGCUAAGUUUCACUGUGACUGCUGCGUAAAGCUAGCCUCGUGAGACCAUCCUGAUCUCGCGAGCUAUCAAGGUUUCACUCGCAGAUCAGUCUGGCUA